rnacentral:rRNA from 1 species
AUUAACAAGACUAUCCGCCAGAGUACUACUAGCUAUAGCUUAAAACUCAAAGGACUUGGCGGUGCUUUAUACCCCCCUAGAGGAGCCUGUUCUAUAAUCGAUAAACCCCGCUAUACCUCACCACCUUUUGCAAUAUCAGCCUAUAUACCGCCAUCUUCAGCAAACCCUAACAAGGUCUCACAGUAAGCAUAAUAAUUACACAUAAAAACGUUAGGUCAAGGUGUAGCCUAUAAGGUGGGAAGCAAUGGGCUACAUUUUCUAUCUUCUAGAACAGUAAUUACGUUAACUUUCAUGAAAUUGAAAGUCUAAGGCGGAUUUAGUAGUAAGCAAAGAAUAGAGAGCUUAGCUGAAUUGGGCAAUAAAGCACGC